ACCAUUCGUCCCGUUUGCGAACAUCCCCCCAACUUCAGCCGGGCAGAAUAGUCAGGGACAAGCAGCGAGCCACGUGUAUGCAAAGGAUUCUACAGCCACCGAAAACAUCUACCUGAAUACUAACACGACUGAAUUACAAACAUCUAUGGACAGUAAUCGGUGUAACAAAGUCGAAGACCAUUCAAACGACGAAGAGGACUACAUGAAUUUGCGUUUGCGCACUCCACAAAGCAUGGCUUGCGAUAUGAGUGUUAAAAACCGCACGUAUGACACCACACACUUAGCACACAAGUCUAUCGAUACAGAGUUGGAACAAGGGAGUAUCAACAUAACAAUAGCACAAACGUCUACACAGACACAGUUUGCAGCGCGUUAUGAGAAACGCGCAAUUAUACAAGAGGAAGAAGAUGAUUAUUUAAAAAUGGAUGCACCAAGAAAACCAGCUAAACAUAUGUAUGAGAACACUCUGCUUACGCCGGUUAAAACCAAAUCAAAGGAGAUGAAAGGCGACGAAUUUGAAUAUGAUGACGUGACAUUCCAGAAGUUAAACUAAACAGUUUAUCGAACUACCCUGCCCUCACACCAACCUUAAGUACUGACGAAGAUGACUACGAGGACACCUAUACAAACAGGAAGCAUAAAACAACCUAAACAACGUUUAAGCCCGUAAAUAAUCGCAUAUUAUUUUAAUGUAAUCAGAUACAUGCAUUGUUGGUAGACGAAACAUGCCCGUGUUGAAUAAUUAUAGCGUACAUUCAAUAAGACUUUCUUUCUUGACAGAUAUGAUGUUUAUUACAUAAAGUCUAUGAUAUAACGAGGUCGUGUGGUCGACGUGAAUUUGUUCUUUCAAACACGAGCUGUCGAAUGACGUAACUUGCAAUGUAUUUAUGUAUUUUGUUUUGUUUUGAGCGUUUGUCUAUCAAGUGUAAAUAAAAACACGUGUAUUCUAUUUAAAAUAUGCAUUUCAACUAAGUCACGUCAUACAUACAUUAGAUCUAUGCGUUAAACUUUUUAUUUACGUAUAAAGCACGUUUGUAAUAGUGCACAAACAAUAUGUGUUAUAGCAUAAUGCAAUAUUAAACUUGCUCAGGCGUUGACAUUCAAAUAUGUGUAAACUAUGUGUGUACAUAUUUACAAAAAUCAUGCGUUCAUUGACUAUUUUGCAUAGUGUAAUACACAAUAUAAAGCACUUUAUGUUCAAAAUAUCUUUUCAAUGGUUUUUAAGUUAAAUACAAAUUAUAUCUUUCACGUUUGUUUCAGACGUUUAGAAUAUAUCAAUAUGUAAUUUGUAUUCGGCCGUUUACGCACUAUUAUUCAUUUUAUGCCAAGGUUCCGAAUACCGAACGUGUUACGUUUGGUAUAUUCUUCAUUUUUACGAUGUUGCAAUAAUUAUAAGUAAAAAGUCAUUAUUCAUUUCUUCAUAUAUAGCCGGUUAAAAUUAAACUAGUACGUAUGUAUCAAUUCGAACUCGUUGUUACAAAGGCAUCCUCUACUCGAUUAGAAAACUUCAUGGUUUUUAGUAAAUAAGUGCAGUCAUAAACUUUUCAAACUGGUACUUGUUAUGUUAAAAUUGAUGCGUCGAAACUACCUUUUCAAUUAAUUUUUGUCAAAUAUAACUAUCCAAUCGUGAACAUAUUUCUUAAUAAGAUUUGACAUAAUCACUGAUCCGUAACGGGAAAAUCACUUUUGCAUUUCCGGUUCGCGUUUUAUUUAGGCGCAUUUCAAAUAAACCGAAGGUUUUCGAAUAGCAACUAUUCCUAAAACAGUAGUAGUAAAACCAACACGUAUAAGCUCAUAAGCUGCUCCAAAUGUUGAUCACCAUUUACUCAGAUUCAAAUGUUGCAAAUAUUUUGGAAAGAUACACAAUCUGACCAUGUUUUAUCAAGACUGAGUCAUACAUAUAGCUUCUAGAACUUUAAUUUAGACUCAGAUUCGAACUCAGCCUAGAUAUUAGUAUUGUCAAGAUAUCUUUAAGAUCGAGGUUCUAAAACACGUUCAACAAUAAUAAGUCAUUAUUUUUAUUAAGUGUUUAUAUUUUUUUGUGAUUUUGCUGAGUGAACUGCUUUUGACCUGAGAUGCACGAGAUUUGGACUUGACCUAGAUAUUGUAUAGUUAAACAUUAUAUCCAAGUUGCAUCAAUAUCACGUGUCCUUUAUGAAUAACGUGGUUACAUGUCGAUAACAAGAUUGGUUUUACCUUGUGACUUAGUUUAUUCACCCACAUGACCGAAAUUCGAUCAAGAAAAUGUAACUUACAAAACUUACAAAAUUGCGCGAAUUGUGGUAGAAUAGCAUUGCCAAGUUUGUUCGUAUAUGCGAUGAGGCCAGAUUGUUAUUUCAGCUUAUGUGUAAAUAAUACAGGUAUUAUGUGUUUAUAAAUUUUAAGUUUGAUUGUAAGUCUCAACACAGAAAUAGAACUCGCAUGACGUAUGCUAUUUUUCUUUCUAUUACAAUUACCUUUAACAUUUGGUCAUGGAUUUAGGUUUGAUAACAUGUAUUAUAAUUCGCCUUUGUUUUGCUUUUUAUAUAAUUUAUGUGACCCUUUAUAUAAACACCAAUUUGUAUAUUUUGUUAAUACAUAACAUUGUAUUAUUUAUAUAUGUAUGUAUGUGUGUUUUUGGAUAAGUUUGUAUUGUAGAAAUCAACACAAUUGAUUAAGUGUGCGAACGUAUGACGUAUACAGACAUAUAACGACCAUAUAUCGAGCGUAAGUUUAGGAUAACAGGAAAUGUAUGUAUUUAUGUACAUGUAUGUAACUAACACGUUAUUUGGUCCAGUAUUUCUUGUACAUGAACAUACUUUUUUGACGUCUUUAUUCUUUUUGUUUCACGUUUUUAUGAUUCUACGGCUUUUUUGUUUAUCCCACGUUUGUUUCUACUUAAUUGGACCGUCCACUUAUGCUAUAUAAUAUGUUUAUGUGUGUAAACAAUAUUUAACACACGUUGACAUCAAGUAUGAUGAAUGCAUUUCAUGAAAGUACAUUAGUGUCAAAGUAAUUUUUUUUUAUUCGCAUUCAUGAUACACAAUGUGUUUAUGCAUUUUUGCGUUAAUUCUACACAAUUUGUUAAUUAGUGUUUAAAGUUAAUUACAUUGAGAUUGUAAGUACAUUAGUUAAUGAUAUGUCUAAAGGCUAGUUGCGAUAUGUGUAUAUCGUUGUGUCUCUCAAUGUAUUUUCAUAUGCAUGUU